AUACUCUGGUUUCUCUUCAGAUUGUAUAAAUCUUUCGCCUUUUACUAAAGAUUUCCGUGGAGAGGAACAUUUACGAGUUUCUACCCAGGGCUAGAGUGAGUCUCCUUCAGCUCC